rnacentral:pre_miRNA from 1 species
UGAAAGACAUGGGUAGUGAGAUUAUUUAAAUUAAAUAUUUAAAAUCUCAUUAUUCAAGUUUUUCUUA